UGGGGGAAUAUUGCACAAUGGGGGGGAACCCGUGAUGCAGCGACGCCGCGUGGGUGAAGGAGAUUUCGGUAUGUAAAGCCCUAUCAGCAGGGAAGAACAAUGACGGUACCUGACUAAGAAGCACCGGCUAAAUACGUGCC
rnacentral:rRNA from 1 species